AUUUUCUCGACCUUAUUCCACAGAUACUGCAAACUGUUUUAUCUGCCGCCUUCUGAAUUUCCCGAGAGACUUCCUUUAGCAGCUCCUCAGAGUUGGGAAUAUCUUCAAGAAGAGGAUGCAUGAUGUCACUCAACUCAUCGUUGAUUUUACUGAUCGCCUGUGAAGAUGAUGAUUUUUUGCUUCCUUUCGAUGUCACAGUUCUGCUUUUCCAUGGCCGAGGAGCAAUAAAAGUUUUGAUCUUGCCUGAGAACUUCUGGAAAAGGUGAGUAAGUUGAUCAGUCAUGGCAUUCAGUCUGCCAACAGGUGUCAAACGUUUGGUGAUUCCAGCUUUUCCACCACUGAUGAGGUUGUAUUUGACCUCCUCGUGAAUUACACCUGUCAGGGACUUUAAACUGAUGUUGUCCACCUCAUCAGGAAUUCCCAAAGCUUCUGAAAAUGUUUGAGGAAGAGAGACUUCCAGCUCAAACAGAAGAUGCUCCUCAGUCUUUGGUCUCCCCGAUUUCAUUGAUGCCACAACAGAGUUGGAAAGAGCCGCGAUAAUUUCCAAAAUCAACUCUGCAACUAAAACUUUAGUGGCAUCAUCUGCUGAACCUGACAGGAAUGAUCUCCAUUGUUCUGCGGUCGUCUUUUCAAGGAAGGACCGCAUCAUUGGGUGAACAAUGUUUAGAACAAAGUCACUUGUCUGUUGUAGUGACAACAUAAUUGUUCUUGUCUUUAGCUAAUCUUGCGGGACUGUUAAACAAUAACCUAUGAGCUUAAACCUUGUCUCUUCAGUUUUAUAUGCAUUUAAGCAUAACACUAAAUAUUACACUGUUCAGAUCAAAGCAAAUAAAAGCUACCAUAAUCAGGAUCAAAGGUAACAAAGUUAAAAACUGUGUAAAAAGGAGCUCAACACAUGUUCAAAGCUCCUCUUAACUCAAUGCACAACAGAGUGGGGAAAAACGGGAAAGCUUUGUGUUUAACUCGUCGUUUUUACGUGACUGGAUACUGCAAACUGUUUUAUCUGCCGCCUUCUGAAUUUCCCGAGAGACUUCCUUUAGCAGCUCCUCAGAGUUGGGAAUAUCUUCAAGAAGAGGAUGCAUGAUGUCACUCAACUCAUCGUUGAUUUUACUGAUCGCCUGUGAAGAUGAUGAUUUUUUGGUUCCUUUCGAUGUCACAGUUCUGCUUUUCCAUGGCCGAGGAGCAAUAAAAGUUUUGAUCUUGCCUGAGAACUUUUGGAAAAGGUGAGUAAGUUGAUCAGUCAUGGCAUUCAGUCUGCCAACAGGUGUCAAACGUUUGGUGAUUCCAGCUUUUCCACCACUGAUGAGGUUGUAUUUGACCUCCUCGUGAAUUACACCUGUCAGGGACUUUAAACUGAUGUUGUCCACCUCAUCAGGAAUUCCCAAAGCUUCUGAAAAUGUUUGAGGAAGAGAGACUUCCAGCUCAAACAGAAGAUGCUCCUCAGUCUUUGGUCUCCCCGAUUUCAUUGAUGCCACAACAGAGUUGGAAAGAGCCGCGAUAAUUUCCAAAAUCAACUCUGCAACUAAAACUUUAGUGGCAUCAUCUGCUGAACCUGACAGGAAUGAUCUCCAUUGUUCUGCGGUCGUCUUUUCAAGGAAGGACCGCAUCAUUGGGUGAACAAUGUUUAGAACAAAGUCACUUGUCUGUUGUAGUGACAACAUAAUUGUUCUUGUCUUUAGCUAAUCUUGCGGGACUGUUAAACAAUAACCUAUGAGCUUAAACCUUGUCUCUUCAGUUUUAUAUGCAUUUAGGCAUAACACUAAAUAUUACACUGUUCAGAUCAAAGCAAGUAAAAGGUACCAUAAUCAGGAUCAAAGGUAACAAAGUUAAAAACUGUGUAAAAAGGAGCUCAACACAUGUUCAAAGCUCCUCUUAACUCAAUGCACAACAGAGUGGGGAAAAACGGGAAAGCUUUGUGUUUAACUCGUCGUUUUUACG
ensembl:lncRNA